ensembl:lncRNA
GGCGCGGGCCUGCGCCCCGGCCUCCCCAGGCGGCUGGCUGUCUGGGGUGGGUUACACGAGGAUUACCGUGCCGUGCUGCCGCGCCUUGAGCGAAGCGCCCGGGGGCGGGGGUUCCGACCCCCUCCUCCCUUGGCCCGCCCUGCUCCUCCUCCUCCUCCUCCUCCUCUUCCGUCAGCGGUCCCGAGGCGCCGGCGCGCCGUCGCUCUCGCUCCCCCCCGCCCGAGGCGUCGCGCAGCGCCGCCCGCCCGGCGGCGUCCUCCAGCAGGGGCGUCUCUGCCCGCGGGCCUUGCCUUUCCGGUUCGUUCGUCUCCGGGAUGGGGGCUGUCCGCCGUCUCCCCUCCCCGCUGGGGGCGGGGGGCGCGAGGCGGCGGCGUCCAGCCUUGGCGCCCGUGGCGCCAGCGGCGUGCGCAGCGGCGAGCUUUAGGCUUGCGACCUCCAGAUCCAGGCGUGGCGACCCGCUGAAUUUAAGCAUAUUAGUCAGCGGAGGGGAGGAAACUAGCGAGGAUUCCCUCAGUAGCGGCGGCGAAGGGGAAAAGCCCAGCGCCCGAAUCCCCGCCCAGCGGUGAGGCGCGGGGGACAUGUGGCGUACAAAGCCCCCUCCCCGGCGGCUCUCGGGGGACCCAAGUCCCUUGUGUCGAGGCCGCAGCCAGCGGGCGGUGUGAGGCGGUAGCGGCCCCGGCGCGCCGGGCCGGGGCCUCGGAGUCGGGUUGCUCGGGAAUGCAGCCCAAAGCGGGUGGUAAACUCCAUCUAAGGCUAAAUACCGGCGCGAGGCCGAUAGCCAACAAGUACCGUAAGGGAAAGUUGAAAAGAACUUUGAAGAGAGUUCAAGAGGGCGUGAAACCGUUAAGAGUAAGCGGGUGGGGCCCAGCGCAGUCCGCCCGGAGGAUUCAACCCGGCCAGCUUGCGGUGGCGGCGGCGCGAGUUGGCGGAUCCUCGCCUCCGCCUCCCCUCCGUCCCCAGGCGAACCCCGCCCGAGGCGGGCGAAAGCGGGCGGCGGGACGCCCGCCCGGCGGCGGCGGCCCUGGCGGCGCAUUUCCUCCGCGGCGGUGCGCCCGCGACCCGGCUCAGUGCGGCUGGGAAGGCCUCCGGCGGGCAGGUAGCCCGGCGCCCGCAGCGGCGGCGAGUAUUGAAACCCCGGGCAGCAGGUCUCGCCGAAUCCCGGGGCGGGGGAGGGCCCGCCGCCGCGCCCUCCCCCCCGGCGGGGGCCCUCUCCCUUUCUUCCCGGGGGUGCGGCUUGGGGCCCUCACGGCUUGUGGCCGGGAGUGGGAAAGGCCGGCCCGCCCGCCCCCGCCCGUUAGCCAAGGCGGACUGCGCUCAAUGCGCCCGACCCGCGGCGCCCCCCCGGGCCCGGAGCCCCGGCGGGCGUUCGGCGCCCAGGGGUCGCGGCGUUGUCGGCUACCCACCCGCCCGUCUUGAACACGGACCAAGGGAGUCUGCUGCGUUGCUGAAGUCAGGGCGUCGUAAUCCAUGCGGCGCAAUGGAAGGGUGAGCGGCGGUCAGGUGGGAUCCGAGGCGUUAUCGCCCUGGCAGCCGAGGCGCCCGGCCCGUCCGCCCCCCGCCCCUGCGGGGGGGAGUUGAGGCGUGGCGUCCGUGCUGGACCCGAAAGAUGGUGAACUAUGCCUGGGCGGGGGGCCAAGGGAAACUCUGGUGGAGGUCCGUAGCGGUCCUGGCGUGCAAAUCGGUGCGUCCGACCCGGGUCUGAGGCGAAAGACUAUUCGAACCAUCUAGUAGCUGGUUCCCUCGAAGUUUCCCUCAGGAUAGCUGGCACUUUCGGCAAUGGGCAGUUUUACCCGGUAAAGCGAAUGAUUAGGGGUCUUGGGGCGAAGCGAUCUCAACCUAUUCUCAAACUUUCAAUGGGUAAGGGGGCGGCUGCGCUGGCUGGAGCGCCGUGGAAUCGCGGUGCUCAGUGGGCCCUUUUGGUAAGCAGAACUGGCGCUGCGGGAUGAACGAGCGCGCGGUUAAAGGCGCCCGAUGCCGGCGCUCAUCAGAGCCCAGAAAAGGUGUUGGUUGAUCUAGACAGCAGGGCCGGUGGCCAUGGAAGUCGGAAUCCGCUAAGGGUGUGUAACAACUCACCUGCCGAAUCAACUAGCCCUGAAAAUGGAUGGCGCUGGAAGCGUCGGGCCCUUACCGGCCGUCGCCCGGCAGUCCGAUGCCAGCGGGGGCUAGGCGCGGCAGUAGGAGGGCGCUGCGGUGCGCGCCUCGAAGCCUGGGCGCGGGCCGGGUGGAGCCGCCGCGGGUGCAGAUCUUAGUGGUAGUAGCAAAUAUUCAAGCGAGAGCUUUGAAGGCGAGAAGUGGAGCAGGGUUCCAUGUGAACAGCAGUUGAACAUGGGUCAGUCGGUCCUAAGCGAUAGGCGGCGCCGUUCGAAGAGGCGGCGAUGGCCUCCGUUACCCUCAACCCGUCGAAGGGAGUGGGGUUCAGAUCCCCGAAUCGGGGUGGCGGGAGGCGGGCGCCCUUGGCGCCCAGUCGUGCAACUAACCGAUCCCGGGAAGCGGCGGGAGCCGGGGAGAGUUCUCUUUUCUUUGUGAAGGGCGGGCGCCCUGGAAUGGGUUCGCCCGAGAGGGGCCAGCGCCUUGGAAGCGUCGCGGUUCGGCGGCGUCGGUGAGCUCGCUGGCCCGUGAAAAUCCGGGGAAGGGUGUAAGUCUCGCGCCGGGCGUACCAUAUAUCGCAGCAGGUCUCCAAGGUGAACAGCCUCUGGCAUGUUGGAACAAUGUAGGUAAGGGAAGUCGGCAAGCGGAUCCGUAACCGGGAUAAGGAUUGGCUCUAAGGGCUGGGGUCGGGCUGGGGCGUGGCGAGGCUGAAGCGCCGCGCACUGGACGGCGCAGCGCGUGGUGAAUCGCGCUCAGCGUAGCCCGCCCGGCGCCCGAAGCGCCA